rnacentral:misc_RNA from 1 species
UAAGUUAAUGAAACCACACGUAGGUAAUUAGAAUUAUUUGUAUAUAAUAAGAUACCUUGGCAUCUUAUUUUUUUUUCUUCUAAAUUUCCAAUUUUGAUACAUUUUUUUCUAAUUUGCUAUUAUUCUAAUAUGCUAUUAUUCUAAUAUGCUAUGAUAUAUAACUCUUUUUUCUGACUUUUCUAUCAGUUGUAUGUUUAAAAAUUAUAUAAUUUUUAAAAUCCCAAUACCCUUUUCGUAGUUUUAGUUUUCUAGCAGAGUUGACAGUAAAAUUAAACUUGAUACACAAAUUUCUGAUUUUAACAAAAAAUUAUGAUUUCCGAUUCAAGAAUGUGUUCCAUAGUUCCAGUUUUUUGCUAAUCUGACAUCUUUAAAUGAUGUAUAUUUUAAAAAGAGAUUAAAUAUCAUUUAAUGAAGUUGAAAUCAGUUCUGUUUUUCAGCUUUCGUCGAAGAUUUAUGACAUGGUUUUUUUGUUCUUUAGUUAUCGUUAUACAGUUAUUAAUUUAGUCUUCUUUUUGUUUGACGAGACGGAAUAUGGCCAAUUUUGUAAAAAAUUAUUGAAUGUUUUUACUUUUCUUUCUUUUUCAAUAAAUUUUGAAAUCU